UACGUAGGGGGCAAGCGUUGUCCGGAAUUAUUGGGCGUAAAGAGCGUGUAGGCGGUCCGGUAAGUCAGCUGUGAAAGUCAAGGGCUCAACCCUUGAAUGCCGGUUGAUACUGUCGGGCUAGAGUCCGGAAGAGGCGAGUGGAAUUCCCGGUGUAGCGGUGAAAUGCGCAGAUAUCAGGAGGAACACCGGUGGCGAAGGCGGCUUGCUGGGCCUUACCUGACGCUGAGGAGCGAAAGCGUGGGGAGCGAACAG
rnacentral:rRNA from 1 species